AACGAACGCUGGCGGCGUGCUUAACACAUGCAAGUCGAACGCACCGCAAGGUGAGUGGCGCACGGGUGAGUAACGCGUGGGAAUCUACCGUUUGGUUCGGAAUAACACAGGGAAACUGGUGCUAAAACCGGAUAAGCCCUUCGGGGGAAAAAUUUGUUGCCAAAAGAGGAGCCCGCGUUGGAUUAGCUAGUUGGUGAGGUAAUGGCACACCAAGGCGACGAUCCAUAGCUGGUCUGAGAGGAUGACCAGCCACACAGGGACUGAGACACGGCCCGGACCCCUACGGUGGGCCGAAGUGGGAGAUAUUGAACAAUGGGGGAAACCCUGAGCCAGCCACGCCGCGAGAGGGAUGAAGGUCUUCGGAUUGUAAAGCUCUUUUGGCAGGGACGAUGAUGACGGUACCUGCAGAAUAAGCUACGGCUAACUUCGUGCCAGCAGCCGCCGUAAUAC
rnacentral:rRNA from 1 species